GGAUACAUGUGUGGAGAGUAUCUUCAGUAGAUGUGAUGAUAUAAAAAUCAUGCUCAAUAGGAUUAUACUGAGGCCC
ensembl:snoRNA SNORD115 Small nucleolar RNA SNORD115